UACAGAGGUCUCAAGCGUUGUUCGGAUUCAUUGGGCGUAAAGGGCGCGUAGGCGGUCAGCACAAGUCAGUUGUGAAAUCUCCGGGCUUAACCCGGAAAGGUCAACUGAUACUGUGCGACUAGAGUGCAGAAGGGGCAACUGGAAUUCUCGGUGUAGCGGUGAAAUGCGUAGAUAUCGAGAGGAACACCUGCGGCGAAGCGGGUUGCUGGGCUGACACUGACGCUGAUGCGCGAAAGCCAGGGGAGCGAACGGG
rnacentral:rRNA from 1 species